rnacentral:rRNA from 1 species
AGUGAACGCUGGCGGUAGGCCUAACACAUGCAAGUCGAACGGCAGCACAGUAAGAGCUUGCUCUUACGGGUGGCGAGUGGCGGACGGGUGAGGAAUACAUCGGAAUCUACUUUUUCGUGGGGGAUAACGUAGGGAAACUUACGCUAAUACCGCAUACGACCUACGGGUGAAAGCAGGGGAUCUUCGGACCUUGCGCGAUUGAAUGAGCCGAUGUCGGAUUAGCUAGUUGGCGGGGUAAAGGCCCACCAAGGCGACGAUCCGUAGCUGGUCUGAGAGGAUGAUCAGCCCAACUGGAACUGGGACACGGUCCAGACUCCAACGGGAGGCAGCAGGGGGGAAUAUUGGACAAUGGGCGCAAGCCUGAUCCAGCCAUACCGCGGGGGUGAAGAAGGCCUUCGGGUGGUAAAGCCCUUUUGUUGGGAAAGAAAAGCAGCAGGUUAAUACCCCGCUGUUCGGACGGUACCCAAAGAAUAAGCACCGGCUAACUUCGU